rnacentral:rRNA from 1 species
CCUACGGGAGGCUGCAGUGGGGAAUCUUGGUCAAUGGGCGCAAGCCUGAACCAGCCAAGUCGCGUGAGGGAAGACGGUCCUAUGGAUUGUAAACCUCUUUUGUCGGGGAGCAAAAGACGCCACGCGUGGCGUUCCGAGAGUACCCGAAGAAAAAGCAUCGGCUAACUCCGUGCCAGCAGCCGCGGUAAUACGGAGGCUGCGAGCGUUAUCCGGAUUUGUUGGGUUUAAAGGGUGCGCAGGCGGAAGAUCAAGUCAGCGGUAAAAGUGAGAGGCUCAACCUCUUCGAGCAGUUGAUACUGGUUUUCUUGAGUGAGUGAGAAGUAUGCGGAAUGCGUGGUGUAGCGGUGAAAUGCAUAGAUAUCACGCAGAACUCCGAUUGCGAAGGCAGCAUACCGGCGCUCAACUGACGCUCAUGCACGAAAGUGUGGGUAGCGAACAGGAUUAGAUACCCGAGUAGUC